CAUGGUAACAUCUGUGAUGGAAAAUCUACAUGUUGUAUUGUUUUGGUCUAUAUGAAUUUAAGUUUUGUUGCUAUUCUGUGUAAUUUUAUAUAGUGUCUGCCUUCUGCUCUCCUUUUGGGUCAUUUAAAGUGUGAACGUUCGAGAGUCGUGUGAUGCAUUUUAUUGCCUGCCUGUUCCUAUCUUCUUGUGUGUCAUCCCCCAAGCAAACCUUUGAAGUAUGGGCCUGUUCCGACACUCUGGCUAGCGUAAACAAAGUCAGAGAGUUACAUGGCACGGCCGCCGACCCCACCUUAGCCUCGGGGGGGGAGCUUCAACUGUAAAGAUAACAAUCUGGUGAACAAAGACUUUUAGUAUUGGGGGACCACCCCCUUCAGGACCCAAACGAAGUGAAUAAAAACUCAUUGAUUGGAAGACUCAGUGGACUUCUGCAGCGUACCUUCAGAGAGUGAAGUAACACGCAAAGAGAAGCUCCCAUCUGAGGCCUCAGAUUAUUGUAAUGUAUGCCUGUUGUGUUGUUUGUUGAUGCAUGUUGUGAUGUAUCUUUGUUCGUACUUUUAUUACAAAUAUAUGUAUAUAAUAUACUAAUUGUCAACAAGUAUUGUGGGCUUUUUUGCAUCUAAAGAUCUCAUCUGUCUCAGACGCAAUAUCUAAUAGAGAAAUUGUCACGACAGUUGGGGGCUCGUCCGGGAUAUCUAACCUGAAGAUUCUACGAAAUAUCGCUCCAAAACAGGUCCGAGUCGGACUCGGUCCCAAAGCUCUACCCCGCCUCCAGGUGACUGUAACCAGACUAAUGGGGUCGAGGAGAGAGUGCCUGUGGGGGAUAAACUAGUGGUUCUUCAGUACGGUAUUCAAAAGGAAAAAGAAUUCGAGCAGGUGAGAUCAAAAUACUUGUUUAAGCUACAAUAAAUCCGUUACGAAAACGGUAUAUACUGUUUUGGGAACGUAUAUUCGAACAAAUCGGCCACGAUUCGAACUUUGUUAUAGGAACAUACGGUAAAGCAACUCCGGUAAAGUUCCGUCAAUAUAUAUAUGGUAUAUAUAUGUAACAGAAAGGUCAGGAGGGUCUGUCAAAACAGUAAAGGGAAACCCGUUAAGCGCUGUUGGGGUCAUAUAUAAAUAAAUAAUAAUAAUAGGCAUUCAUUAAUAAAUAUAUGUAUAUGUGUGUAGUAACAAGAAGGUUUCGGCGAUAUUAGAUAAUUUGUUAAAUAAUAACUAGUGUAAAAGGAUCUAAAAUAUGGGGAACAAAUCUGGAAAAACGGAGAUAACGGGACCUGCGAAGGUGAUGUUGGAGAAGCAUGGUGAAGCGGCUCUGGAGGGUUUAAAAUAUUGGUGCAAACUGGGCUUUCCUGAAAUGGGGAGUUUUAGCUUAAAACGGUUGUUGAAGUUUUAAUUAUGUUGGUGUGCAUUUCAUUUGAGGGAAAGAGAGAGCCAGGAUAUAGAAAAAAUAAAUAAUAAUCAGCCAGGGACAGAGAGCGUAGAGAGUGUAGGAAUAUUUUUAUCUCAAUUUCACCCGAGAUGUAGACCCGGACCUGGACUGCAGUCCGGCGGACCGCGUGCGAAUCCCCCUUCACCUCCACCGUAUGACGACAACGCCCAGGCCGCCGCCCCAUCAACCUCUAUCCAGACCUCACUGCAAAGGAGGCACCCGCUAACAGCGCAACAGGGGUUAUGGCAGUCCGGCAUACGUUUUCCGUGCAUGGAGACCCAGUGACAUUAAGGACAUAGCAGAAUGUCUCCCGGACCCAUCUGCAGUGGGAGGGGAAUCCCUCGCUACAGCCAGUCUGGAAAUGGCCCAUCACCCAUCGGCGAACCACGCCAAGUCAAACUGGGCCUACGGUGGGGUCGUAUUCAAGGCGACAUUCCCGGGAGAGACCAAGCUGAUAUUAUGUUCGUGGAGGCGCCGGACGGCAAGGACGACCACAGGAAAGUGGGGAAGCACAGAGGCAGGCCUGCUUUCGUUGAGGCGUCAUGGAUCCUUGGUUCAACGAUUCUCCCAAAAGAAUCGACAAAGACAAUGGAAGGGCCGGCUGGCAGUUCGCACCUUCCCGUGAAGUGACUGUGAAUCAUCCAAGAGGCGGAGGUGGAAGGGGGCAUUCGCAUUGACGGGACGCGGGAGCAGACCAGGUCCAAGUAGCAGGUAUGAGCACCAUAACACAUAACACAACCAACCAAAUAUUUAUUAUAUAUGGUUCCCACCAGCCUUACGCGACCUGAUCAGCUAAAUGUAAUAUUAUAUAUGGUUAUUAUAUAUAUUUAUUAUAUAUGGUUAUAGUAAACAACGGGCUAUUGUAGACAGUGGAUACUCGAUUAUUACAAUCUAACACAGCCAUGACCACCCCGACUGACCCAGACUAACCCCGACUGACCCCCGACUAACAACGUGACGGGGACAACAGAAGUGUAUUGCCUAAUAUUGAAAAUGCAGAUUUUUAUAUUAUGAUAUUUUGUUAAUGUUUUAUGGCCAAAUGGCAAGAAGGUGAAUUAAUGAACGUAUGAGAGAGAUUGGAAGAAGUAUGUGUUAUGGAAGGAGAAGAGAUAGAUGAGAACGGAAGGCAAGACAAGAUAAGGAAAGGGGUGGGGAGAAAGAUAACCCAUCUGCAUCAAGUUUUGUUCAAAUAGAUCCGGACCUGGACAACGCUCCUCCUUCUCCUGCUUUCAGCCCGACCAGUGGCCCAAUACAGUGCAAAUACCCCACGUCACGACUCCUCUUCAUCAGACUUUAUGAAGUUACAGACCAUGGGAGGCCCACCUGAAGAGCUACGGAACGGUCUGCUGGACGACACAAGGAGACAGUCCAGCAGGACCAACAGCACCAGAGUGGUGGCCUCCAUGGUGCCUGUGUAGCCACAAGGAAGUGGCCUGAACAUUGAGACAAAGGAGGGUCUCAGAGACGGGAGAGAUGUGGGGACAGGCACUUCAAAGGACAGCCCGGGAUGCGGAUGAGAGGCAGGAAGCAGAGAGAGAGGUGGAGGCGUGUCCAGGCGGAGGGAGAGAAGAGCAGUGUACGGAAAGUAUCGCACUAGACACAGCAUUCACGUAUAUUACAAGAGACGAGAUCUAAUGUGUAACUAGGACUGUCUAUAUGAGUGUGUGAUAGUUUCUAAGAAGUAUAUCUGAAAGGUUUGAAAGUUAUUAGGAAAAGUAGUUUGAAGGAUCAAAGACAAGUAGAAAAGUUGAAAGUUAAAGAAAUGUUUUUAAAAAAGGUAGCCUUGUUUCUUAGUUUUAGUUUAUUUUUGGUUUUUAUUUUUUUAUGACUUUUGAAUAUAUGGAAACAGAUGACUUGAUUGUGAUGUUAGGUGAUUUUAUGCUACCUUCUGUAAAAGCGAACGGUGGUAUAAAUAUCUGUACUUGGAGGCCAUGGUUGGACAUAGUAGAUUAUGAACAUAUGCAUGUUUUGAUUAAGUGAUCAUUUUAAUCCUAAAGGUUGCAUCAUUUUGUGAUUAUAAAUAAUCAAAGGGGGGAUUGUGAUGGAAAAUGUACAUGUUGUAUUGUUUUGGUCUAUAUGAAUUUAAGUUUUGUUGCUAUUCUGUGUAAUUUUAUAUAGUGUCUGCCUUCUGCUCUCCUUUUGGGUCAUUUAAAGUGUGAACGUUCGAGAGUCGUGUGAUGCAUUUUAUUGCCUGCCUGUUCCUAUCUUCUUGUGUGUCAUCCCCCAAGCAAACCUUUGAAGUAUGGGCCUGUUCCGACACUCUGGCUAGCGUAAACAAAGUCAGAGAGUUACAUGGCACGGCCGCCGACCCCACCUUAGCCUCGGGGGGGGGAGCUUCAACUGUAAAGAUAACAAUCUGGUGAACAAAGACUUUUAGUAUUGGGGGACCACCCCCUUCAGGACCCAAACGAAGUGAAUAAAAACUCAUUGAUUGGAAGACUCAGUGGACUUCUGCAGCGUACCUUCAGAGAGUGAAGUAACACGCAAAGAGAAGCUCCCAUCUGAGGCCUCAGAUUAUUGUAAUGUAUGCCUGUUGUGUUGUUUGUUGAUGCAUGUUGUGAUGUAUCUUUGUUCAUACUUUUAUUACAAAUAUAUGACCACUAAUUGUCAACAAGUAUUGUGUGCUUUUUUGCAUCUAAAGAUCUCAUCUGUCUCAGACGCAAUAUCUAAUAGAGAAAUUGUCACGACACAUCACAACAGUGACAGGAAGCAGGCUGAAGGAAGGAGGCUGUGGGAACUCCAGGGUUGUGACAGCAUCUGGUUGCAGCAGCGGCCAUGGCAGCCUGCGGUCUCCCCCGACAACAAGUCCAACACAAUGGAGUGUUUAUGGGGAGCUGUGCCGCCCCAGAGGGACUAAGCAGCUCAAUUAAAACAACACUCAACCUUCUGUGGUUGUGGUAUUAAUCUCCACCAGGGCAACCCAAAAACGAGGAUUUGAAGGGUGGGGGCCCUUGGCACAAGGGGGACGCAUGGUUCCGUGUGUGCUUGUGCGUUUGGGAUGUGUGUGCGCACCUAUGUGUGUUUGUAUUUGGAUAUAUCUGUGAAAACAAAUCCAUCACAUAAAAGUGUUCUUUCUUUGUUAA